UAGCUCAGUCGAUAGAGCAUGAGACUCAUAAUCUCAGCGUCGUGGGUUAGAGCGCCAC
rfam:Danio rerio chromosome 4, GRCz11 reference primary assembly.